AUACGUAGGUGGCAAGCGUUAUCCGGAUUUACUGGGUGUAAAGGGCGCGUAGGCGGGGGUGCAAGUCAGAUGUGAAAUCUAUGGGCUUAACUCAUAAACUGCAUUUGAAACUGGAUCUCUUGAGUGAUGGAGAGGUAGACGGAAUUCCUUGUGUAGCGGUGAAAUGCGUAGAUAUAAGGAAGAACACCAGUGGCGAAGGCGGGCUACUGGACAGUAACUGACGCUGAGGCGCGAAAGCGUGGGGAGCAAACAGGAUUAGAUACCCUGGUAGUCCACGCUGUAAACGAUGAAUACUAGGUGUGGGGGGACUGACCCCCUCCGUGCCGCAGUUAACACAAUAAGUAUUCCACCUGGGGAGUACGGCCGCAAGGUUGAAACUCAAAUGAAU
rnacentral:rRNA from 1 species